UACGUAGGUGACAAGCGUUGUCCGGAUUUACUGGGCGUAAAGAGCGCGCAGGCGGUCGAUCAAGUCGAGUGUGAAAGCCCCCGGCUCAACUGGGGAGGGUCACGCGAUACUGAUCGACUCGAAGGCAGGAGAGGGUAGUGGAAUUCCACGUGUAGCAGUGAAAUGCGUAGAGAUGUGGAGGAACACCGAUGGCGAAGGCAGCCCCCUGGGUCAAGAUUGACGCUCAUGCACGAAAGCGUGGGGAGCAAACAGG
rnacentral:rRNA from 1 species